ACAAUAAGUGAUGACAUAUUGACACCGCUUGAGAAACACCACCGUCUCUUUCUACGGCUGUUUAGUCCCUAAUUGAUAAUGGAAAAGGGCACUAUGGAGAGACAUCAAAUACAUAGUAUUGAUCCAACUGUCGACAAUCCAUUUAAGAUACUAUCAAAAUUACAGCACCGGUAAUCUGAAUUUGGGAUUCAUUUCAUACACUGAAGUUGGUAACUUUCUUCUUUUUUCCAUGAUCGAAAACUAAAAGAUAAAAGAAGUCCUCACAUGGUGAAAGAAGCUCGUGAUAAGAAUAUCAAAAUUGUGGGAUCUAUUAUCAUAUGACAAUGCCUUAGAAAGAAGCAUUGUUGUUGCAACAACACCUCAACUGUAGAGAGGCAACAGAAAAUCAUCUUCUUGCAAACACAAAUCAUGUCACCUCCAUAUCAAAUGCAGGGUGGUUGGAACAUUGUCCUUAUUGCUUGCUCAAUCUCCCAAGCUACACAAAUACUGGUCUUACACAUGCUCACCGUGUUUAUUGUAGUUGGUAAAUAUCUUAAUUAUGAUAUUUACUUGCUUUUGUUUGCCCUCUAACAUACUAUUGAUAUGCCUAUCACCUCUGUUGAGUUCAAAAUUGAGUAGUGUGCAGUUAAUAAUAGUAAUCAUAAUAAAACAGUCAUAUAUUCUUCGACGGAGACUAAAUUUCUAAAUUUUACUGUUGUAAAUACAUAAAAAGUUAUGGUGACCAUGAGUUUUUUCAUUUUUUUUUA